CUCUCUUCACUCUUCAUCUCAGCUCCAGAAAAACCUUCGAAAACCCUACAACCACCUCUCAAAAUUUGCUGCAAUCCGCUCUCUAUCUCCCGAAAUGUACAGCUUAUCGAGGCGUUCUGUUCCGGCUAUCCUCCGAGGCGGCGCUGCGCUCAAUCGCGCUAUUUAUUCCGUCGACCAUCAGCUCUCCGGAGAGAGUGAUCCAACAAAGAGAUGGUGCUCUGUGCUGACAGCCGGCAGCGGCAAUGCUAUUGGUGGCACCACGUCAUUUGAUCUGAAAAUGGGGCAUUUUAUGUGGUGUCGUUAUGAGACAACUGCUGCUUCAGCUAAUCCACCUCCGCAACCUCAAAUCCAAGCAGAG